rnacentral:pre_miRNA from 1 species
AGCCUUCUGUAUCCGUGCUGAGAUUUCGUCACACAUCAGACUUUCAAGAUAAGUGAAGCG